GGUUGGCCUGGGCCAGGGGGUGGCCGGUCCAGAACGGGUCGUCGCCGGCGUUCGAGACGGCGGCCAGCCC
rnacentral:tRNA from 3 species